rnacentral:rRNA from 1 species
GACGAACGCUGGCGGCGUGCUUAACACAUGCGAGUCGAACGGAAAGGCCCUGCUUUUGUGGGGUGCUCGAGUGGCGAACGGGUGAGUAACACGUGAGUAACCUGCCCUUGACUUUGGGAUAACUUCAGGAAACUGGGGCUAAUACCGGAUAGGAGCUCCUGCUGCAUGAUGGGGGUUGGAAAGUUUCGGCGGUUGGGGAUGGACUCGCGGCUUAUCAGCUUGUUGGUGGGGUAGUGGCUUACCAAGGCUUUGACGGGUAGCCGGCCUGAGAGGGUGACCGGCCACAUUGGGACUGAGAUACGGCCCAGACUCCUACGGGAGGCAGCAGUGGGGAAUAUUGCACAAUGGGCGGAAGCCUGAUGCAGCAACGCCGCGUGCGGGAUGACGGCCUUCGGGUUGUAAACCGCUUUCGCCUGUGACGAAGCGUGAGUGACGGUAAUGGGUAAAGAAGCACCGGCUAACUACGUG